rnacentral:rRNA from 1 species
AUUGAACGCUGGCGGCAUGCCUUACACAUGCAAGUCGAACGGCAGCACGGGUGCUUGCACCUGGUGGCGAGUGGCGAACGGGUGAGUAAUAUAUCGGAACGUACCUUAUUGUGGGGGAUAACGCAGCGAAAGCUGUGCUAAUACCGCAUAAUCCCUAAGGGGGAAAGCGGGGGACCGUAAGGCCUCGCGCAAUUAGAGCGGCCGAUACCUGAUUAGUUAGUUGGUGAGGUAAAGGCUCACCAAGGCAACGAUCAGUAGCUGGUCUGAGAGGACGAUCAGCCACACUGGGACUGAGACACGGCCCAGACUCCUACGGGAGGCAGCAGUGGGGAAUUUUGGACAAUGGGGGCAACCCUGAUCCAGCAAUGCCGCGUGAGUGAAGAAGGCCUUCGGGUUGUAAAGCUCUUUUGUCAGGGAAGAAACAGCAGCUCUAACACAGUUUGCGAAUGACGGUACCUGAAGGAUAAGCACCGGCUAACUACGUGCCAGCCGCCGCCGUAAAAC